rnacentral:rRNA from 1 species
UACGUAGGGUGCAAGCGUUGUCCGGAAUUAUUGGGCGUAAAGAGCUCGUAGGCGGUCUGUCGCGUCGGCUGUGAAAACCCGGGGCUCAACCCCGGGCCUGCAGUCGAUACGGGCAGACUAGAGUGCGGUAGGGGGGACUGGAAUUCCUGGUGUAGCGGUGAAAUGCGCAGAUAUCAGGAGGAACACCGGUGGCGAAGGCGGGUCUCUGGGCCGUAACUGACGCUGAGGAGCGAAAGCGUGGGGAGCGAACAGG